rnacentral:tRNA from 1 species
GGGUGGUUAGCUCAGCUGGUUCAGAGUACAUGCUUGACAGGCAUGGGGUCGGGAGUUCGAGUCUCCCACCACCCA